ACACAUGCAAGUCGAGGGGCAGCAUUUUUCUAUCAAUAGAAGAGAUGGCGACCGGCGCACGGGUGAGUAACACGUAUCCAACCUACCGAUAACUCUGGAAUAGCCUUUCGAAAGAAAGAUUAAUACCGGAUAGUAUACGAAUAUCGCAUGAUAUUUUUAUUAAAGAAUUUCGGUUAUCGAUGGGGAUGCGUUCCAUUAGUUUGUUGGCGGGGUAACGGCCCACCAAGACUACGAUGGAUAGGGGUUCUGAGAGGAAGGUCCCCCACAUUGGAACUGAGACACGGUCCAAACUCCUACGGGAGGCAGCAGUGAGGAAUAUUGGUCAAUGGGCGCAGGCCUGAACCAGCCAAGUAGCGUGAAGGAUGAAGGCUCUAUGGGUCGUAAACUUCUUUUAUAUGGGAAUAAAGUUUUCCACGUGUGGAAUUUUGUAUGUACCAUAUGAAUAAGGAUCGGCUAACUCCGUGCCAGCAGCCGCGGUAAUACGGAGGAUCCGAGCGUUAUCCGGAUUUAUUGGGUUUAAAGGGAGCGUAGGUGGAUUGUUAAGUCAGUUGUGAAAGUUUGCGGCUCAACCGUAAAAUUGCAGUUGAAACUGGUAGUCUUGAGUACAGUAGAGGUGGGCGGAAUUCGUGGUGUAGCGGUGAAAUGCUUAGAUAUCACGAAGAACUCCGAUUGCGAAGGCAGCUCACUAGACUGUAACUGACACUGAUGCUCGAAAGUGUGGGUAUCAAACAGGAUUAGAUACCCUGGUAGUCCACACAGUAAACGAUGAAUACUCGCUGUUUGCGAUAUACAGUAAGCGGCCAAGCGAAAGCAUUAAGUAUUCCACCUGGGGAGUACGCCGGCAACGGUGAAACUCAAAGGAAUUGACGGGGGCCCGCACAAGCGGAGGAACAUGUGGUUUAAUUCGAUGAUACGCGAGGAACCUUACCCGGGCUUAAAUUGCAACAGAAUAUAUUGGAAACAGUAUAGCCGUAAGGCUGUUGUGAAGGUGCUGCAUGGUUGUCGUCAGCUCGUGCCGUGAGGUGUCGGCUUAAGUGCCAUAACGAGCGCAACCCUUAUCUUUAGUUACUAACAGGUCAUGCUGAGGACUCUAGAGAGACUGCCGUCGUAAGAUGUGAGGAAGGUGGGGAUGACGUCAAAUCAGCACGGCCCUUACGUCCGGGGCUACACACGUGUUACAAUGGGGGGUACAGAAGGCAGCUACACGGCGACGUGAUGCUAAUCCCAAAAACCUCUCUCAGUUCGGAUCGAAGUCUGCAACCCGACUUCGUGAAGCUGGAUUCGCUAGUAAUCGCGCAUCAGCCAUGGCGCGGUGAAUACGUUCCCGGGCCUUGUACACACCGCCCGUCAAGCCAUGAAAGCCGGGGGUACCUGAAGUACGUAAAGGCAAGGAGCGUCCUAGGGUAAAACUGGUAAUUGGGCCUA
rnacentral:rRNA from 1 species